GCGCGACUUGCUUUUGUUGGGGAUGCUAAUGCUAAUGAUGGUUGCUUUACAUUUAGUGCUGCUAAGAAUACAAUGCAGGGCCUACAUAGAAAGAAUGGAAAGAAGGACAGGAAAAAUAGGGAGGCUGACAGAGGUGAGGAAGCACGCAGGAAGGUCCUAGGCAAAAAAAAGAGACAUUUUUCACAUGCCCAUCCAACGGGUAGUGAGUUAGAGUGUUCUUUUGAGAAAUACUAGUAAAUGUGCCCGUGCGUUGCAUCGGGAAAAGAAAAUCAAUGAAAAAUAGAAAAUACAAAUGUUAUACGCAAUGACAGAUGACACACGUCAAGGAACUUAUUUGUG
rnacentral:lncRNA from 1 species